ACGCUUUCUACAGGCUUAACACAUGCAAGUCGAGGGGCAUCAGGAAGAAAGCUUGCUUUCUUUGCUGGCGACCGGCGCACGGGUGAGUAACACGUAUCCAACCUGCCCUUUACUCGGGGAUAGCCUUUCGAAAGAAAGAUUAAUACCCGAUAGCAUAAUGAUUCCGCAUGGUUUCAUUAUUAAAGGAUUCCGGUAAAGGAUGGGGAUGCGUUCCAUUAGGUUGUUGGUGAGGUAACGGCCCACCAAGCCUUCGAUGGAUAGGGGUUCUGAGAGGAAGGUCCCCCACAUUGGAACUGAGACACGGUCCAAACUCCUACGGGAGGCAGCAGUGAGGAAUAUUGGUCAAUGGGCGCUAGCCUGAACCAGCCAAGUAGCGUGAAGGAUGAAGGCUCUAUGGGUCGUAAACUUCUUUUAUAUAAGAAUAAAGUGCAGUAUGUAUACUGUUUUGUAUGUAUUAUAUGAAUAAGGAUCGGCUAACUCCGUGCCAGCAGCCGCGGUAAUACGGAGGAUCCGAGCGUUAUCCGGAUUUAUUGGGUUUAAAGGGAGCGUAGGUGGACUGGUAAGUCAGUUGUGAAAGUUUGCGGCUCAACCGUAAAAUUGCAGUUGAUACUGUCAGUCUUGAGUACAGUAGAGGUGGGCGGAAUUCGUGGUGUAGCGGUGAAAUGCUUAGAUAUCACGAAGAACUCCGAUUGCGAAGGCAGCUCACUGGACUGCAACUGACACUGAUGCUCGAAAGUGUGGGUAUCAAACAGGAUUAGAUACCCUGGUAGUCCACACAGUAAACGAUGAAUACUCGCUGUUUGCGAUAUACAGUAAGCGGCCAAGCGAAAGCAUUAAGUAUUCCACCUGGGGAGUACGCCGGCAACGGUGAAACUCAAAGGAAUUGACGGGGGCCCGCACAAGCGGAGGAACAUGUGGUUUAAUUCGAUGAUACGCGAGGAACCUUACCCGGGCUUAAAUUGCAGUGGAAUGAUGUGGAAACAUGUCAGUGAGCAAUCACCGCUGUGAAGGUGCUGCAUGGUUGUCGUCAGCUCGUGCCGUGAGGUGUCGGCUUAAGUGCCAUAACGAGCGCAACCCUUAUCUUUAGUUACUAACAGGUUAUGCUGAGGACUCUAGAGAGACUGCCGUCGUAAGAUGUGAGGAAGGUGGGGAUGACGUCAAAUCAGCACGGCCCUUACGUCCGGGGCUACACACGUGUUACAAUGGGGGGGUACAGAAGGCAGCUAGCGGGUGACCGUAUGCUAAUCCCAAAAUCCUCUCUCAGUUCGGAUCGAAGUCUGCAACCCGACUUCGUGAAGCUGGAUUCGCUAGUAAUCGCGCAUCAGCCACGGCGCGGUGAAUACGUUCCCGGGCCUUGUACACACCGCCCGUCAAGCCAUGGGAGCCGGGGGUACCUGAAGUACGUAACCGCAAGGAUCGUCCUAGGGUAAAACUGGUGACUGGGG
rnacentral:rRNA from 1 species